rnacentral:piRNA from 1 species
UGAAAGAUCCUAGAAAUGGGUGUGU